UACGUAGGGGGCAAGCGUUGUCCGGAUUUAUUGGGCGUAAAGAGCGUGUAGGCGGCCACACAGGUCAGCUGUGAAAACUCGAGGCUCAACCUCGAGACGUCGGUUGAAACCGUAUGGCUAGAGUCCGGAAGAGGAGAGUGGAAUUCCCGGUGUAGCGGUGAAAUGCGCAGAUAUCGGGAAGAACACCCGUGGCGAAAGCGGCUCUCUGGAACGGUACUGACGCUGAGACGCGAAAGCGUGGGGAGCGAACAGG
rnacentral:rRNA from 1 species